ensembl:snoRNA
CAUCUGUGAUGAUCCUAUCCCGAACCUGAACUCCUUGCUGACAAACUUUAUACGGAUCCGGAGUCUGAGAU